rnacentral:rRNA from 1 species
AUAAACCUACGGGGGGCAGCAGUGGGGAAUAUUGGGCAAUGGGCGCAAGCCUGACCCAGCAACGCCGCGUGAAGGAAGAAGGCUUUCGGGUUGUAAACUUCUUUUAUCAGGGACGAAGCAAGUGACGGUACCUGAUGAAUAAGCCACGGCUAACUACGUGCCAGCAGCCGCGGUAAUACGUAGGUGGCAAGCGUUAUCCGGAUUUACUGGGUGUAAAGGGCGUGUAGGCGGGAGUGCAAGACAGAUGUGAAAAAUAUGGGCUCAAACCAUAGCCUGCAUUUGAAACUGUACUUCUUGAGUGCUGG